rnacentral:rRNA from 1 species
UACGUAGGGUGCGAGCGUUAAUCGGAAUUACUGGGCGUAAAGCGUGCGCAGGCGGUUUUGUAAGUCAGAUGUGAAAUCCCCGGGCUCAACCUGGGAACUGCGUUUGAAACUACAAGACUAGAGUGUAGCAGAGGGGGGUGGAAUUCCACGUGUAGCAGUGAAAUGCGUAGAGAUGUGGAGGAACACCGAUGGCGAAGGCAGCCCCCUGGGUUAACACUGACGCUCAGGCACGAAAGCAUGGGGAGCAAACAGG